rnacentral:lncRNA from 1 species
UAAAUGGCCACUGACAUAUGUACAAAAAACAAUAAGCAGUAAGUUGUAUAUUGAAUACUGCAUGCAAGUGAGAACCAUUUUAUACGACACUUUGAAACAGAGAAAAAUUAAGUUUCAUCACUAUACUGACAGAGCUGGACACUGAAGCUUCUGGUCUUCCUUUUUGCUGACAAGAUACACCAAUGUGCCUUGAAACUCGUCUCUGGCAUUGGCCUGUAUUGCCAAGAGGCUGAUCUUACUGACAGUGAAUACUUUCUUUCAAUACACAACACACACAUGGGAUGCAGAGUUUCUUUGGUUCCUGCAGAUGCUCAGGAAAUGCUGUAUCAACCACAAGUGGAAGAAAUCGGUGGAAGACAAAGCUCCAGGAGCUCCAAGCAUGGGAAAGGCUGCAGGUCCAAGGCAGGAUAAUG